UUUUACGUGCAUUCUUACUUUCCUCAACAAAUUUAAGCAAACUUAGUAGAGUGAAAGGAAAUAACUGUUGCUAGCUUUAUAUUAUGUAAUAUUAACAGUUUAAUUAAAUUAAUGUAUGUGUAUAAUGUACAUUAUGUUCUUACAGAAAUUUAUGGUUGCACAGAUUAUCAAGUAUUUUCAGACGAGAUAAAAACUGGGUUUUAUAAGAGCUUAAGGAAGGAAAUGUGCUGAUUCUAUAAAAUAGAUGCGGAAUACUUUAGAAUGGAUGUAAUAUUGUUGCUUUGUUGCAUGUAAAUUGGCAUAUAUACAUGUACAUUUAUUUAUUUGAUUAUACUUCAGUGCAAUAACCCACUCUAUAUUCAGUUUCCUAUCUAAUCUAGUCUACCCGGUUAAAAUAAACCAACAUAGGAAAGGGAAGUGAUAUUAACUCUAAACUACUGUAUUAAUAUUUCCUAUAAAGAUAAUUAAGACUCAAAUAUGAUAUCUGUAGUAUUACCGGUAUAAAGGAAUAUUUUUUAUGACCAUUGUAUUAUGUUGAGCGAUUAUAAAGAAAUUAUGAACUCUUAAUCCAAUUCAUAUUCCAACAUAUCAGUAUUGUUAAUUUGUCACAGAGAAUAAUUAUUUAGCAGAGUUUUUCGAUUUUUUAUAAUACAUUAAUGCAUGAUGUUGAUCAUGUGCUUGUACAAACAGUUCUGGAGGAACAAUUUUAUACAGAUUUAUCAUGCUUUGUGCUUUUGAAUAAAUGAAUAUUUUUAUGUACUAA
rnacentral:misc_RNA from 1 species